rnacentral:rRNA from 1 species
GUGGGGAAUCUUCCGCAAUGGACGAAAGUCUGACGGAGCAACGCCGCGUGAGUGAUGAAGGUCUUCGGAUUGUAAAGCUCUGUUAAUCGGGACGAAAGAGCCUAGUGUGAAUAAUGCUAGGAAGUGACGGUACCGGAAUAGAAAGCCACGGCUAACUACGUGCCAGCAGCCGCGGUAAUACGUAGGUGGCAAGCGUUGUCCGGAAUUAUUGGGCGUAAAGCGCGCGCAGGCGGAUCUGCCAGUCUGUCUUAAAAGUUCGGGGCAUAACCCCGUGAUGGGAUGGAAACUACAGAGCUAGAGUAUCGGAGAGGAAAGUGGAAUUCCUAGUGUAGCGGUGAAAUGCGUAGAUAUUAGGAAGAACACCAGUGGCGAAGGCGACUUUCUGGACGAAAACUGACGCUGAGGCGCGAAAGCCAGGGGAGCGAACGGGAUUAGAAACCCGGGUAGUCC